rnacentral:rRNA from 1 species
AGUGAACGCUGGCGGUAGGCUUAACACAUGCAAGUCGAACGGAAGCACAGUAAGAGCUUGCUCUUACGGGUGGCGAGUGGCGGAAGGGAGAGGAAUACAUCGGAAUCUAGUUUUUCGUGGAGGAUAACGUAGGGAAACUUACGCUAAUCCCGCAUACCACAUACGGGGGAAAGCAGGGGAUCUUCGGACCUUGCGCGAUUGAAUGAGCCGAUGUCGGAUUAGCUAGUUGGCGGGGUAAAGGCCCACCAAGGCGACGAUCCGUAGCUGGUCUGAGAGGAUGAUCAGCCACACUGGAACUGGGACACGCACCAUACUCCUUCGGGAAGCAGCAGUCGGUAAUAUUAGUCAACGGGCGCAAACCUGGCCCAACAGUACCGCGUGUGUGAAGCACACCUUCGGGUUGUAAAGCCCCUUUGUGGGUAAAGAAAAGCUGCAGGCUAAUACCAAGCUGUUCUGACGGUACCCGAUGAAUAAGCACCGGCUAACUUCGUG